UCUACAUAUUUUAAUUUUAUCAAUUAAACCUUAAACUUUUUCAUAAUUUGCCAAUUAAGUUCAUUUGAUCAAUUUUGGUCAAAAUUCGCUGAUAUGAUCAUGGCCAUCCUACAUAGCAUAGCUGAUGUUUAUGAGGACAAUUUUUAAUAAUAUUUUAAUAUUUUUUCGAAUUUUUUUAUUAAUUUUAAAAUGUUAUUUUCCUUUUUUUCUUUGCUUUUCUUUUUCUAUACUUUUUCUUUUCUUUUGCCAGCAGGUGACCUCACAGAUUCUCAGCCCUGCCGUUCGCAGGCAAGGGUCACGACGUCGUGAGUAGAGCUAGAGCUCAUGCAGUCAUGAGCUUGAAGCUCAAGUGUCCGUGGCCACGAGCUCCAGAUCUCGUAUCCAUGCCUUAAGCUCUCACGAUCACUGCCACAAGCUUGAAAGCUCGAGCAGCAGGUGAGGCGAGUUGAGGAUCGCAGCGUCAUGAGUACUCGAGCUCAAGCGGCCAUGGCCAAGAGCUCGAGAUCCGGCAGUCGAGUGGCCAGCCACAGCCGUCGUUGUCUUUGCCGUCACAGCAUUAGAGAUUCGCGAAAAACAAAGGCCUCUUUUUAGGUCGAUAAAUAGAGAGUUCAAAAUGGAAAAUUUUCCACUGUUGCAGUUCUUUUGGCUUCGCGUACUUCGAGUAACGUUAUCAGUUGAGGGAUUUCGUUAGUGGAGCGAGCGAUGGCGGAAGCAAUGAAACAUUGCGUGAUGACGGUGACACUAGGAUCUUUUAGAGAGCGAGUGCUCUCCCCCCAGAAAGCAUGUACUUUCCAUCGAGUCUUUUCGUCUGUUCAUCUACAUCUUUUUGUGUAGCAAGAAGGCAUCUUCUCUUCAUUAAUCAUCAUGGAUUCGUAAUCUUUCAAAGAGCACAUGCUCUCCACCCAUAAUGCAUGUGCUGUCCAUCGAAGAUUGGCCUUGGCAAGACAGCACGCAUCUAGAGAUAAAGGUUAGCCAUUUUUUUUCUGUCCACGACGGACGCAACCCAAUUAUAUCGUCGGGACUUAGAGGGCAUGAUCAAACAAGAAGGUUGCUCAGUCAACAACCCACUGACAUUGGCUGAACGAGAAGAAAUGCAUUGCACUGCUCUAAAGUCACAUUAACUUUUAACGUCGGAUUAAUCAAUAGACACUUGCCUAGGAAGACUUGUUCAUUAGACAGUGUAUCUGGGAAUUGUUUAGAAACCAUGUGCCCUCCCCUAGAAAGCAUGUUCUCUCCAUCCAACCAUUUCAUUUGUUUAUCUUAGAUCUUUUUGUACAGCAGAGGAACGCAUUCAUUAAACAUUUUGUAUUCGGAAUCAUGUGCACUUCACCUAGAAAUCACGUACUCCCCAUCAUAGACAAUGGUGAUGCAACGAAUCUGAUUAGUACAAAGAACAAACAAGAAGGUUGCUUCCGGCAAUGUUUUUCUUAAUUACCUUGGGUGAAAGCAAAUGUUCCUCCUUUCUUUUUGUCUUUCAUUUAUCUACAAUUAAGGAAAAAUGACGAGUUCAAUUUGAUAACAUCAUAAUGAAAAAUUCACAAGGAGGUUAGAGCCACAUUUACCUAUUUAACAAUAUGACCUUUGCUUUUGGGGAAGCGCGUGUGUGUGCAAGUGUG
rnacentral:lncRNA from 1 species